rnacentral:rRNA from 1 species
UACGGAGGAUGCGAGCGUUAUCCGGAUUUAUUGGGUUUAAAGGGUGCGUAGGCGGACGCUUAAGUCAGCGGUAAAAUUGCGGGGCUCAACCUCGUCGAGCCGUUGAAACUGGGUGUCUUGAGUGGGCGAGAAGUACGCGGAGUGCGUGGUGUAGCGGUGAAAUGCAUAGACAUCACGCAGAACUCCGAUUGCGAAGGCAGCGUACCGGCGCCCAACUGACGCUGAAGCACGAAGGCGUGGGUAUCGAACAGG